GAUGAACGCUAGCUACAGGCUUAACACAUGCAAGUCGAGGGACCGGCGAACGGGUGAGUAACACGUAUCCAACCUGCCCUUUACUCGGGGAUAGCCUUUCGAAAGAAAGAUUAAUACUCGAUACAAAGGAUGGGGAGUCGUUCCAUUAGGUUGUUGGUGAGGUAACGGCCCACCAAGCCUUCGAUGGAUAGGGGUUCUGAGAGGAAGGUCCCCCACAGUGGAACUGAGACCCGGUCCAAACUCCUACGGGAGGCAGCAGUGAGGAAUAUUAGUCAAUGGGCUUUAGCCUGAACCAGCCAAGUAGCGUGAAGGAUGAAGGCUUAUGGGUCGUAAACUUCUUUUAUAUAAGAAUAUGUAUUAUAUGAAUAAGGAUCGGCUAACUCCGUGCCAGCAGCCGCGGUAAUAC
rnacentral:rRNA from 1 species